UCUUCCAUUCGUAGUCUGACGCCCUUGCGUUUAAGACGUUUCUGGUGUGCUUGGUGUUUUUCAGUGUCGUACGUGGUGGUGGUACGCCCCGGAUUUUCUGGUGAUUACCAGGUUUUCCAGUGAUUGCGGAGCGUAUCUAUUUCUCCAUUCGGCGACCACUUUUCGUUUCGGUGUUGCGCUUCCAGAUGAAAAAGUGCAAACUUUAGUACGAGUUCUAUAUUAAGGUGGAGACACCUUUUCAAUUAAGCAGGCAAAAGUUUCGAUUGUGGCAGACAAAAGUGCAUUCCACUGUAGUGAUAGUAAUCGGAUCAAGCUCUCGAUGGGAAUUCGGGUGUGAAUGGGUCCUUGGGUACUGGCAACGCAGGAAAGAAAGUCCGGUUCCUGAGAAGCAGUGAAGCUGCCUGCCGCAAAACUGCUGGCAGUGAGGUGCACAAGCGUGCCGGAAGUGUUCGAAGUGUGUAUAUUCCUGCCUGAAGGAAGCUAGUAGUCCGUAUAUUUUGUAUCCCGGCGUGAGGGUACCUCGGUCAAGAAGAAACAAAAUUCAAGUUGUGUGCUUUUCUCGUUACGCUGGAGUAGUGUCCUUCGGCCGACCCAACCACAGCCUCCAAAAUGACGAAGGAUAGAUUAGCAGCCCUACAGGCGGCACAAAGCGAUGAUGAAGACAUGCCCGAAGAUGUGGCCGUGCCGGUGGAGGGUGGUUUUAUGGAGGAGUUCUUCAAAGAUGUGGAGGACAUCCGGGAGAUGAUCGACAAAAUCCAGGCGAACGUGGAGGAGGUGAAGAAAAAGCACAGUGCCAUUCUGUCGGCCCCACAGUCAGAUGAGAAAACCAAACAAGAACUCGAAGACUUAAUGGCCGAUAUCAAAAAAACUGCCAACAGAGUAAGAGGGAAGCUUAAGGGUAUCGAACAAAAUAUUGAGCAGGAAGAGCAGACGAAUAAGUCCAAUGCCGAUCUAAGGAUACGGAAGACACAGCACUCGGCGCUGUCCCGCAAGUUCGUCGAGGUAAUGACCGAGUACAACCGGACACAGACUGACUACCGAGAGCGGUGCAAAGGAAGAAUACAACGACAAUUGGAAAUUACGGGUAGGGCGACGACAAACGAAGAACUGGAGGAGAUGUUGGAACAAGGCAAUUCCGCUGUAUUUACACAAGGGAUCAUAAUGGAAACCCAACAAGCUAAACAAACGCUUGCCGAUAUCGAGGCACGGCAUGCAGAUAUUAUAAAAUUGGAGAAUUCAAUUAGGGAGCUACAUGAUAUGUUCAUGGAUAUGGCAAUGCUCGUCGAGAGUCAGGGGGACAUGGUGGACCGAAUUGAGUACCAGGUUGAACAAAGUAGGGACUAUGUGGCACAAGGUCAACAGGAACUGGUUCAGGCGAGCAAGUACAUGUCCAAAGCAAGAAAGAAGAAGAUCAUGAUCCUGAUAUGUCUCACUGUACUCGGUCUCAUUGUGGCCUCGUACGUCAGUAGCUACUUUAUGUAAAAGGUGCCAGCAGUAGCAAACAUCUGUAAUCUACUACCAACCAACCACUUCUACUACUACGACCUGAUCAAAUCCGGACGAAAAAAAUGAAGGUGUUAAAUAAGACGAAAAAUCAAAUUGUACGAGCACAAGGAACAAACACGAAAAAUACAUUCUACAGAGCACACAUCUGUAGGCAAACAACACCAUCAAGAGUCAUUAUCAGAUAUUAAAGAAACAGCAGAUACUAGAAUAAUACUCAGCAGUGCUCCCAAAUAGUCUUCAACGGAAUCCUCUACCAAUAAGAUACCUACCCCGUAAAUGUCGAAAAGCAAAAGAUAAUCGUUUGUGUUUUCGUGAAACGAACUUGAUAUUUUAAAUCGUGUUUCCAUUUUUUUGUUGAGUUAUUGAUUUAUCGACAUUUCGGGUAUGCGCGAUUCCGUGUUAGGCAAAAUCAGAUUCCGAAACCGGAGACCAGCAGGAUUUUGUUCCGGAAAAUUGUUUCGUUCUCACAUACCCACGAUGAAGUUCCAGCUGAGAGACUACAUAAGGCCACAACAACACACACAAUGUCUGUGAUGGAGUAAUAUUACACGAUACUUAAGUGAAAUCAGAAUAUCUCCCUCUGUAUCACCAUUCAAAAACAACAACAAAAAAAAAAAAAGAAAAUGAAAACUAACUCAACUUCAAUGCACCAACAUCAACAAAAAAAAACCACCACAUCCAGAGGCGUCAACCGAAAAACAAUAGAACAACUCCAAAACAAAAAAAAAACCGGCAAUCGAUGUAGUUCGUUAGAACCACCAACCACAACUAACACCACCACCACUACCGCCACCACCACCACUAUCAUCACUGUCUGUACACCUGUCCGGCCUCGAGCAAGCACAGCAAGAACAGAACAAGGACAGCAUCAUAAGAUUUGCACCAUAUCCCUACCCAUCUGUCUGUGUCUGUCCAGCAAAUACUAUAUCAAACCUGCAACCAAGAAACAUUGUGUAAUAGUAUCAACCACCACGCAAAAAAAAAAUUAAAACAAUCCAGUAUGCCAGAAUACAAAGUAGCGAAACCCUCUUUGAGCAAACCGUGUAAAUUAAUCAGAAGAAGAUCAUUAUCCUGAUAUGUGUGAGCAUUCUUCUGAUAGUGGUCGCAUCAACAAUUGCCGGAUAUUUCGGUUUUUAAAAUGCAACUCUGUCCCGAUCCGGCUGUUACACCUCUCCCCCCCAGAGAACGGCAGCGAACAUGAGGGCAGUCUGCCAAUGUAAUUGUGCAAUAAACGCGGUGUUCACGACGCGAUCUGACAGAAAAAUAUCUGCUCCUAACACUACCGUCUCACAUCACCUUCAUCAAACCUCGUCGCUAUAAGUCACAUUUUUUUCUUGAUCAACGCAACGCAUCGCUAGUACUACAACAACAACAACAAUUGCAACUACUACCACACCCAGCAUCGCCUAAGGCAAGCCAAGCAAACGAAGAUAGAUCGAGAGUACCUACAAACAAACUGAAAGGAAACUUUGUCUUCGCAUCUACCCUCUUGGUUUUAAGCAUAGACUGUGACAACAACAACAAAAAAAAAAACAACCAACCAAUUACGCUCAAUCUCUCAAUUCAGACGCACGAGAUAACAAAAACAAAACAAAAAAAAUGGCGAGAUUUUGUAAUGAUUUUCAUUUAGAGCAAACCAUUUUAGACACAGAAAAAAAACACGUUUUGAUAAACCCGCACCAUUUAGAUCUGCGGGAGUGAGCGACACAACUUUUCACGCAUGGAAAAGUGAGACUUUUCUCAUGCGACUGAAGCUAAGGCGUUUAUUUGAACCCUUUCAUACUACUCUUCACGAUUGCCAACAAGUUUGUUUAGGACAAUGAUCGACUGUAUGCUAACCGACUAACGGUUAUUAUGACAUGUGAAACAACUCAGUUACCGCUGCACCACACAUCAGGACACAUAAUCAACGACGGCAGAAAGAAGGAGCGUUUGACGAUCGAUCGACGCCAUCCGCUCUAAAUAGAUCACAGAAGUUUGACAUUCAUCAAUAACAACCUUACCAUUUAAGCUGAUAUAUUCGGAACAGUACGAAUGCAGAGACGAAAAUAUCUACCCUCGAAAACAAGCGCUUGUUGAUUAUUUAUUAAGUUUGUCAGUUUAGAUAGUUUGGUCCUCGCCCUUUGACAAGAGGCACGCGCGGGUGCACUGUUAUAGGUUCUUUCGUUGAGUUCGUUGAUUCAUUCUAGUCGAAUCGCUAGUGGUUACGCAUUUAUAACACCAGUCUAGGUUCACUUAGUGUAAAUAUGCUUUUAGCCAACAAUUUAUCUAUUUAUGAAAGCAAAACAAAAGGAAAAAAAGAAGACGAAAGAAAUGGCUUUUGUUAUUUGCGCAUCUUUCAGGCAAAGCCAGAGAACAAAAAAAAAAAUGAAAUGAAAAUGCAGUGUGCAGUGCAGCAACCGAAUGCUAGAGAAGCUAAUGUUUGUAUAGAAAAGCUGUAGCUAAGAAUUCUAAGAUAUUUAAUCAAAAUAUUAAGCGUGACAGUUUGCCGCUUGUAAGUUCGAACUCAUUUUAGGUGACAUGUUUUGUUAGAAAAAUUCUAGCAAUAAACUACGAGGAUAGGGUUGUCCCCAUUUUCGUUCCACCGUUGAACAUAAAGAACGGGAUAUGAAUCUUGGAGGCUUGAAAUAAAAAAAACAAACACACACACACAUACACACAAACACGCGCGUUUAACCUAAUUGAUGCAGUAAGAAGCUAAAUCUUUAACAUGCAUAACGGUAACAACAAUAACGGCAAACAGAAAUCAAGGCAAGAAUACCGAGAAAAAAGAAAAAAAUAAAAACGUUCAAGAAAAUGUGUGAUAAUAUUUAAUGAAAUAAUCUCUAACAUUAAUUUGAGGGAAAAUGAGAUAAAUAUACAAAAAAGCCUAUAGAUAUAUUAUUACUACUAUUCGUAAAAAAACCAGUCUUAACAGAGUGUCAUAUUUAUAGCUCCUACACGUAUAGGGAAGAACAAAAUGAAUAACGAAACAAAACAAAAAAUCGAACAAGUGUAAAUCGUUUUGCGCGGGGGGCACCGACCUCUGCUUCUGUCUAGGGUAGAAUAUCAAGAUGAGAACAAUACUUGACACUGGUGUGGUUUUCGCGAGAAAAAGAGUUUGCUCGUUUACUGCGCGAAAUUCAGUCCUAGGUUUGUUUGUUUUUUGUCGAUCCAUUUUAGUUUAUUUUUUGCAUCGGUGAAGAAUCGAGUUUGGUACCAUUUUUAACGUUUCACAGACAACGUUGUCGUCUCUUGAUUAUUUUAAGCAUCCAAACGCGUAGAAAAGUAUGUAAUGUAUUGCUCUGGAUGGAGCAUAAUCUGUUUGAUUUUUGCAUCCACGAGAUUGCAAUAUUAUUGGGUAAUUAGGAUUUGCACGAUCACGACAUAAUAACCUCUCAAAUUGAGCUGACUGAACUUCGUGUUUUCAGCUGCAUCUGGAAAUUUUUUUGUUGUGUCGUCGGGUAAAACCCUAGAACGUAACAUGCAACAUUUUUGAUAACUACUUUUUCUUUCUCGCUGGUGUUACCUCACUUAAGGUAUAGCCAAUUGAUGGCCCUGCUUCGGAACUGCAUUAACAGUUAGUUUUUUGCGUAUAGUCCAAUGGGCUUUACAUUCACUGGACAUAGACUUGCACUGUCAAAAACAGCGGGCCACCAUAGCGCGGAUAAAACUCUUGCUUGUGAAAUAUUUGAAAAAAUCUUCGAACAGAUCUCUUCUUCUUCCAGUUUCUUUUUUUUUGAGAAGAAAUCGCUUAUUGUCGAGCUCUUCUAUAAGCUACCCAAACUUAGGUCGAUAUCUACUCAAACUUUGAGUUCAUCGGGAAAAAUGGGUAGCGUGCUUUGUUAUGACAUAACACUGGUACUAAACUUACAUUUACCUAACUUUUGAGGUCAUCACUCGUUACCCAAAAUUGGGCAGAUGCACUUUAGUUGAUUUUGGGUAGGUUUUGACCCAAAAUUAGAUAGCAGCUGGUAAGAGUGUAAGAUGACACCGAUUGAUGGCACAGUAACUUAUGCAAUAUUAUCAGCUCGUCUAUAGUUCAAGGGACAUGCUUUUCACUGGACUACCAUUGUUCGCCCACUGUGUCGCAACACUGAGUCACCACCGUACGGGUAAACAUUAGUUCUUCCGAAAUACUCGUAUUUUUGUCGCACUAACACGAAACGACGUGCUAAUUCGUUGAAAAUUGCACCGUACGAAAUCAAAAUGUUCACCAUAGAGUGUCGAACUGUUGACAGUUUCAUAAGUUUUACAUAAUUUUGACAGUUUGCUUGCUCGUUUGGAACGAAGCUGUCAUUCCAAACGAACGGCUGUCACUCUGAUUUACUGGAACUGUGCUUCACCCAGCCCGGUGGCAACAAUAAGGCGCUCCAGCUAGUGCUAUCAUAACCAACAUCUCAGUCCUUCGGGGCCGUCAAAGCUAGCAAGUCAGUGAGAGCAAAGUAAACAAAAUGAAGUAAAAUACAACACUUCAUUGAUUGUGAAAGUCAGUAUUACAAUUUGGCAGCGCACGUUUCAUAACGAUAUCACAUUUAUAAUCAAACAUGAAAAAUCAACUUUCACAGCUAAAUAUCACAGAUAUUUAACAACAACGAACUUAUACACUUCUUCGUUGUUUUCGUCUUUGCGGAAAAGAUGAUGGUCACGAAAACAUGGCGGCCUAGCAGGAACUUGGCUUCACCAUGAAGCAAAGCAUUUUGCUGUCAAUCUAGUAAAAAAAAUACAAGAAAUCAUGGCACACUGAUUGUUGUGUGAAACUUGAGCUGUUUGAAUGUGGCUUGUAAUAUGGAAUAUAGCAUUUUCCAAUCGUUAGUCGUGUUCGUUUGAUGCAGAACCUAAUAAAAUUCUCAACCCAACAGCAUUUGUUCAGCGCCAUUGAACUGGUCAUCGGAUUGACUUCGACCUGAUUCUUAUGUAUCGAGUAUGCUCGCAAAACCAAUGCUUAGCACAAACUUAAUUUAGUUUGGUUGUUUGAAGUAAUUAACCUGGAUUUGUUUCAGGUUUUUUUUUCGAAUAAAAACGGCCCAAACGGAUGUAGUCAGAUUCGAACCUAGAUUCAGCGAUCAGCUCAGAUUGAACUAGAACCUGACUUUCAACUGGAAUUUAACUUCAUGAGAAUGCUGCACAUAGUGAUUGAAAGCAACAAAAGGCUGACUAAAAGUAAAUUAUUACGCACAAAAAACCCUGUAAUUCGUUUUGGUAAUGAGUUUAAAAAGUCCAAUAAUGGUUGUUUUUCAGUACUUUCAUUAAAACUUAUCCGACAAAAGUCCACAAGUAGGUUAAAGCCGGGUAUAAAUAAACGAUUUGAAAAUAAAAUAAAAUUUCAAAGUUACAGUAUUGCUCCAAUUCGAACAAAAUCUCGAAUCUUCCUCUUGAUGGAGCCCAUCCGCGCCCACACCGUGAAAAUGGACACGAAAUCAGCGCAUUUUAUUGUCAAUGUUAUGAAUUUUUAGACUUCAGCGCGAAAAAUUUUGAGCUCACACACUAAUAUUCGUGCAAAUGCCACAUGCCGUUCAUAUCAGGGAUGUCAGGUUAAAUUUUUAAGCAGAUUUUGAAAGGUUUGUGCAAUCAAACUGUUGCAGUAACAAUUGAAAGCAAAACAGCAAAAAUGAAAGUCAAGUGCUCUAAAAAUGUAAAUUUCAAAAAUGUCCAAUUACCAUUUGAUAAUAAGUAAAAUCCACAAAUUUCUGCAGCGUUUAUCAAAAAUCUGCAAAUUCAGAGAUAAAUCUGCAUACAUCACUGAUUAUUUUAUAUUGGGCUUAUUUGCACGGGAUAUACUGCGGGAAACGGACUGUGCAAUUUUUUUUUCUCAGGAGUCUAAUCAAGUAUAAAAUGCUUAAUUUCCAUUUGCCCUCAUUUGCUGGAUGUUUUUGACUGUCCCGGCGCUUCGUUGGAGUCGCAGCAUCGAAAUUGCACAGUAUUAUUUCGAUUGGUCGAAAUUAUGGAAUUUUGUAGGGAGUAUUCCACUCCAGAAUCACCUUGAAGUCGUGCCAGCUGGCUAAAUCCCAGUUUUUUCCUGGGUCUGCUGAUUUUUUACCACGCUCAAGGUUUUCUUGUAGGCUUUAAGCACUCGACAAACUGCUGUUUUCGACAUCUUCUGCAAUUCAGCCAGCUUGAAACCGGACUACUUUGACGUUUUUUCUGAACGCAGUCGACUGCUUUGAUCAAUCUUGCAUUAGUUGUUCUCCUUUCGAAGAACCAGUCAACUUUUAUACGAUCGCUGCGCUGCUCAAGUGGCGAGCUUUGAAUUAUGUAAUGGUGAUAGUUUUUAGAUUUUGAUUGGAAAUUUGAUAAAUUCCAGGUUUUUGCUAUUUUUCUCAUGAGUCGAGUACUAUAAUAUAAAAAUUGGGUGAAAAAUUCGAUCUUUAAUAAUGACGUGACUUUCUGUGUUAUGAUCCAUAAUUAUAGAAAAACCGUACUGAUAUACUCAGUUUUAAUGGAUGGAUUUAGAAAUACCAAAGACAAAUAACAAAAACCUGACUGUGACGAAGCAGUUUUGAAAAAUAUCUGAAUCAUUGUUGAGUAUUUCCGGUACUUUCUAUAUUCACUACUUGGCGGUACGUGAAAUUGAUUGCUUUGAUUGAAGUUUAGUUGGAAGUGUAUCGUGAGCUACGAAACUUGAUGUCAACCACAAACAACUCAUAUUUUGAAUUCUUGUGUUUUUCAGUUGUGUAUUGUGAUGAUGGGCAUAGAAUCUUCAAAAUACACACAUAUAAAGCAUAUUCUAUAAUCUAACAAUUAGAUUUUUAUUUUACCAGCUCAGAAAUUCGAUUAUAAUUACAAGUAAUUCUCGGCUUGGACAUACGAUGAAAUAUAUUUAACCGGCGUGUUAUUUGAUUGAACAUGGUUAAAAGACAGCAAUUACAAGCAAGUUCGAUUUGCAAUUCGUGAUUCGUGGGUACUCAACUAGAACAAACAGAUAUUGAAACCUGUGUUAAUCUAUGUCUGAUGUAAAGUUUCGCCGCAGAAGUUACUAUAUUGAACUCAGAGGGAAACAAUCUCUCCCAAAUUAAGUGCGCGAAUACAAAUGAAAAACUACGAUGUUUGUGUAAUUAGAGAGAGAUUUUAAAGCGCAUCCUGGCUGCCGAUUAUGAUUGAUGGAGUUCCUUUCCAUUAGUUCCAUCGUUGAUUCUGCUGGUUGCUGGUUAAUGGAAGAAGGCGACAACAUUCUUCUAGUCAGAAUGGUCUUCUAGAAUAAGAGGAAAUUGGUUAUUCUCGCAUCGGAAUACAAUUUAAAUAAUGUUCUAGCAGCUAUAGAUUUUGGCAAUUGCAUUGUGAAUAGGCGGUGGUGGGAAUUCAUCAUCGCUCAGUUCAGAUCAUAUACAGUUUACACAUGUAUACUGUAUAUGAACUGAAAACUUCAAAUUUCAUCCGAUAUUUUCAAGUGUGUAAGAUAGUCUUACCUUAUGUAGGACGACAACACUUGAAAAACCAUUUUUUUAAUCCACAUAUGUAAGCUUUUACCACAUUCAUUCGUUGAAAAUCAAGUAAAUUGAAAAAUUCGUCCAAAAAAUUUCUCAAACACAAGAGAUAUCUCGGUUGAUUUUCCAGAAGGCCGUAACAGCAAGUGACAGUUUCUCUUUGUUCACUCUCUCUUUCGAUUAUUGUGAUGUGAUCUACAAAGAUUUUCUUGGAUUUCACAGUUCUGUUUGGAAGUCGAACGUUUCGAGCAUCAUUCUAUGCAGAGAGUUAAGUGAUAAACGUGUAAACCGCUUGGUAAUUAAUAGAAGAGAAAGUAAACAAAGAGAAACUGUCACUUGCUGUAACGCCCUUCUGGAAAAUCAACCGAGAUAUGUCAAAAGAAUCACCAUAGCGCUAUCUCGUAGUGAACACGCUGAUUGGAUUCUUCAAUAGGAGUGAAAUCAAACUAUUGUCUAACAUUUUCGAUUCUCAACGCGUCCGCGUGCUGUCGAGACGCUAGGGGCGUACCGAUGUACUUUUAGUCAGUCUUUAAUUUGCUAUCGCUUCGAGGUUUCGUAAACUGGAAUGAUAUUGAUACAAUUUGAAUUUGAGGACAACACGAGAUUACCUUUUCUUAACAGUAGGUUUCCGUAUCUUGCAAACAUAGUCAUCUCCUUUAAAAUAUGUUUACAUCGUUCGGCUACGCACAGUUUGAGUAUUCGGUAGAAAAAUUCAAUAGAAAUUCAAAUUCACGACACGUGAAUCUCUAGUCUUCUUGAGCUGGGUAGAACAAUCAAAAUAAAACCAUUAUUGACUUGGGACAAUGUUUCAAGGAGGCAGCAUUUGAAAGAGUUCAGGAGCAUUGGCAUACUGCAGGAAAGUUUUCUUCAAUGCUCUGUAGCCAUUGGAGCAAUUUUCUCCUAUCUUUAAACUAUUUAUGAUUCACCAUUUUCAUGCAACUCAUUAAAACAAGUCGAUGUUUUGUUUGAUCAUUAACAAUUUGCUUAGAUAAGACAUACGUUUUAUUUUGAAAUAAUGUUCCCGUAAGCCUUUAGCGAAUCAAUCGUUUAGUAAGUUCUAGUUUUCAAAGCAGUGAAACUGCUUAUUCCUCUUGAAACUGAACGAAAUACAUAAGGCCAUUUCGAUGUGGGAGGAAAACUUUGCCAACGCACCUGCAAACUAUUGCUCUGUGCUGUCGAUUUUUAGAAAGAAAUAAAACAACGCAAUCAAGCUUUUCUCAAUUUUCGCUACUUCCGUUUCGUGACUGCAAAAGAGUAAAUUUUCCCGGAACACUGGGAGAAUGAUUCAUUGACAUGUGUUCACAGCUAUACCUAGAUAUCCAUACAGUACUGAAAUAGCUAACCUACUGAUUUUUAUGCAAAAUGGUCAAAUUUGGGGAUUUCAUAUUCUGUUCGAUCAUUUUUUGUGUGCAAAGGAUCAAGCCUUUCCAAUUUCGGAUUAUGACGUUUCGAUACACGAAAAAACCUUACUCAGUGAAUCUGUUCAUUUUUCGGACACGCUUGGAAUUCAUUUUUAUUCGGACUAUGGACAGUUCAUGUAAAUUUUUUCCGUAACCCAAUUCAAUAACGAUUGGAUCACCAAACAUGACCAUAUCGAAUGAAAAUCUGACAAUGAAUAAUUUAGCUCUUCCAGUCUUGUACAUACAUAAACAAAACACACAAACACACACAUUGUUUCGGCGCGAAACAUCACGAUCAAAUGUAUCGUACUGUACUGCCCUGAAAUUAACCUUACGAACGUAAGAAAGGAAAAAAAUAUAUAUUUUACAAUUCGUGGUAAGAUUCUCCAUUAGUAGGAAACAAAUGUAAACGAAGUAAACAAUCAACGCGAAAGUUGACAUUUCAUUUUUGUUUCGUUUGACAUUUCGUUUCAUGCUAGGUUAUGUUGUGAAACGAUGCCUUCUGAUUCGGUUAUGCGUAUUUUCUUACUAGUAGGAUAUAGAAAAAAAAAAUGAAAAUCAGUAACCAAACAACAGUGAACUGUUGAGUCAAUUGUUUUUAGAACCGAUGUUGUUUCUACUAGUGAGAAGUAAAAGUUUAAUUUUCGUUGCAUCGUGUAUGUGUGUAUUAUUUUCGACUGAUUUCGUUUAACUUAAAAAAAAAACUUAUUAAACGAACAGUGUAAAUUGAGGUAAAUUUAAUUAAGCCAAUAAUUAGUUGAUACUGAGCUGUAUUUGAGAAAACUAAAGAGAGAAAAACAUGCAAGUAAAUCUGCAUAGAGUAAUCAAAACUUUUUAAUAUAUAUUGACUUACCUUAGUACCGCAUUUUUGGCAUUACUGAUUGAUUGAGGCAAAAUAUGAGAACGUUUUCAUUCAAAAAAAAAACUAAGUCUAUAGCUGUAAUGUUCUUUGGCAACAUCUGAGCAGUUUAAACAGCAACAAUUAGCCUAUUAAUUUAUAUUUAUCUCAAAGAAAAAAAUGUAACGAAUGGUGAGAAACAGUUAAGAACAUCAUAUAAAAGCAUACUAACCAGAACGUUAGACAUCUUACCUGUAGGAAUUCUACAAAUUGCUAAUAAAUUAGAGCAACAUUCGAAAAGAAAGAGAAGAAAUUCAAACUACUUCCUCCAGUGGACAGCGAAAAAUACAAAAAAAAAAAGAAAUUCCGUAAAGAAACUCACACACACAAACAAAACAAAACAAAACAAUAUCACAACGUUUAGGAAAAAGACAAAUACUACAUAAAAAAAGGCGCUCUGUUGUACAGUGAAUAUUUUUUCUCUAUAUUUCUCUAUAUCGGUUAAUAGGAAGUAAGCAUUAUAAUAACAAAAGUAUUUAAAUUACAAUAGCUAUUUGAAUGGUCUAAGAAGGGCAAUAAAAAGAAAAAUCUGGGGGCGUUGAUUUUGGGAGUCCACGCUGCGAGCUUGGAAUCAAAGUAUGCUGUGACCGAGGAGAGCGGUAAUGCGUUCACAAACACAAGGAAAGCAAUGGAAUCGGACUUGCCCUAUGUACAUUUCGACAAAAAAAAACAAUCGUAUCUUGGUUUAGUUUUCAAUCGAAUAUUGCACCGGCCCAGCAGUGCUCCCAGAUUUAACAAUAUCCCAGGGAAAAGAGGAAAAAACCGAACAAACGUAGCGAAAUCUAUAUAAGCGCCGACGCCGCCGCCGCCACAGCAGCAGCAGCAUCAUCAUUGUGAGAUAUUAAGAAUAAAACAAAAAUCGACACGUGUUAAUUUUAAUUUUCCUCCUAACCCUUUCUCUUGUAUUAGAUAAGGAAUUUAUUUUUUCUUGAAAUCUUGAUGUUAAUAACAAAAGAAUAUUAUAAAAAAAAAAUCGAAGGCGACGCUAUUGGCAGGAAACGGGGAAGCAUUUGACAGGAGUAUAAGAAAUAAACAAAUGUUUAGAGAAGGAUCGUGUAUAUUGUUACAUUUAAUCGUAAGUCCAUUUUGAAGUUACUGACAAGUUAAUGAAGAAUCUCUCUCAAAAUAGUGUUGAACAAAUCGUAGGAAAAUCAUGCAUCUCUUUACAUCGCGAGGGAAACUUCCUUUCCUCGAUUGACGACACAGAACACACGUACCACCACACACAAACAAACCGAAACAAAAAAGAGAAAAAUGAUAUUCACGCAAAGACAAUUGUACACACAAUAGAAAAAAAACCCUACAUAACAAAGAACACAGUAAACCUGAAAGAUAUUCAGCAACAAGCAGACACAAACACGAACACUAAUAGCAAAGAGAUGAUGUAUUAACAAUAACCUAUAACAAUGGAAACAAAAUAGUGACUAACGAAGAAAUCAAGAAGAAAAAAUGGACAAUUGAAAAUUGGUUUUCAUGUUAUUUAAUAAAAGGAAACAAGUUAAUAAGAUUAAAGUGAAAUCAAGUGAUGGCUUUCAAAAUUAUAUAAAAAAGAAAACUAAAAAAAUAAACAAAAGUUAAAAUAGCUAACAAUUUUUCGCCUUUUGCAUUAACAAAAAAAAACACAUACACACAAUAAAAAUGACACGCUAGCCAAACAAGCAGUGAUUUAGGAAAAAUUAUAAUAUUCAACUCUUCUCUCUGUUUUUCUGAAAGUUUAAUCGGAUACAUGAAACAACCAGAAAACGGAAAGACUUUGGCAACUAUACCGCACUCGUAGGACACGACACAAAUCGCAGAUUUUUUCUGUCUCUCAAUCUCUUCUGUCCUGGUAGCAACCUCUUCAGGUCUCCAAGGUAACAUGAACACUACACUGAAAACAAAACAGAAAAAUACAUCGCCAUCUUCGAGCGACCCCACCAAAACCCAAAAACAAAAAAAAAAACUGGAGACAAUUUCCUUUUUCUUCCACUGUCUAGGCUCAACCACCCCAGGAAAUUCUUAGUUGCGUUCCCCUAGAAGAGCACUCUUUUCAAAAGAGCAUCUUACAAAACGAAUUAAACAGAUUAAAGCAGAAGAAACAAAUGAAAUCAAAGUGAGAGUAACCGUGUGUAAAACUUGUCAAUUUUCGCAAAAUGAAACAUCUACUUAAAUCCAAAGAAAAUAAAAAAAACAAUUAGAAACUGCAACAGAACAACCAGAGCAGCAACAGCAUAUAAAACGAAACUUUCUUCUCGGUUCGGGAUAGAGAUUCUCUUAGAGACACAGAAAUCUCAGAAACAUUAACUAUUCCAGUGACAGUCAUAAAGUUGAAAUCAAACGAGAAUGAUGCAUUCUCUUCGGUAAACAUAGCAAUAGAACGACUUGAGUUUUGAAAAUAAUAGAAAAAAAACGAAAAAUUCACCUAUACA